CCUACGGGUGGCUGCAGUGGGGAAUAUUGCGCAAUGGACGAAAGUCUGACGCAGCGACGCCGCGUGAGGGAUGAAGGUUUUCGGAUCGUAAACCUCUGUCAGGAGGGAAGAAAGCGCAUGGCGCCAAUCAGCCAUGCGUUGACGGUACCUCCAAAGGAAGCGCCGGCUAACUCCGUGCCAGCAGCCGCGGUAAUACGGAGGGUGCGAGCGUUAAUCGGAAUUACUGGGCGUAAAGCGCUCGUAGGCGGUAUGUCAAGUCAAGGGUGAAAUCCCCGCGCUCAACGUGGGAACUGCCUUUGAAACUGGCAAACUGGAGUGUGUGAGAGGAUAGUGGAAUUCCAGGUGUAGGAGUGAAAUCCGUAGAUAUCUGGAGGAACAUCAGUGGCGAAGGCGACUAUCUGGCACAUAACUGACGCUGAGGAGCGAAAGCGUGGGUAGCAAACAGGAUUAGAUACCCCUGUAGUC
rnacentral:rRNA from 1 species